ACGGAAGGCAGCAGUGGGGAAUAUUGGGCAAUGGGGGAAACCCUGACCCAGCAGCGCCGCGUGAAGGAAGAAGGCCUUCGGGUUGUAAACUUCUUUUACCAGGGACGAUAAUGACGGUACCUGGAGAAAAAGCAACGGCUGACUACGUGCCAGCAGCCGCGGUAAUACGUAGGUUGCAAGCGUUGUCCGGAUUUACUGGGUGUAAAGGGCGUGUAGGCGGAACUGCAAGUCAGAUGUGAAAUCCCGGGGCUCAACCCCGGAACUGCAUUUGAAACUGUAGUCCUUGAGUAUCGGAGAGGCAAGCGGAAUUCCUAGUGUAGCGGUGAAAUGCGUAGAUAUUAGGAGGAACACCAGUGGCGAAGGCGGCUUGCUGGACGACAACUGACGCUGAGGCGCGAAAGCGUGGGGAGCGAACAGGAUUAGAUACCCUGGUA
rnacentral:rRNA from 1 species